rnacentral:rRNA from 2 species
CGCGGUAAUUCCAGCUCCAUUAGUGUACAUCGAUAUUGCUGCGGUUAAAAAGCUCGUAGUUUGAUCUGGGUUGCAUGCGUUGAUACUCCUUUGGAGCUUAUCUUCGCUGCAGCUAAACUGCUGGUUAACUGCAGGUGUUUUCGGACCCUGUAGCGGCUAGCGAGAUUACUAACACAAAAUCAAAUAGCUUAGAUAAGGCGUCUGCCUGAAUGUUCUAUGCUGGAAUAAUGGAAAAGGACUUCGGUCUUAUUUAUUGGUUCUAAGUUCGAAGUAAUGAUUAAUAGAGACGAUUCGGGGCUGUUCGUAUCAUUACGCGAGGGGUGAAAUCCGUUGACCGUAGUGAGACGUCCAAAAGCGAAAGCAUUCAGCAAGAACGUCUUCAUUAAUCAAGAACGAAAGUCAGAGGUUCGAAGGCGAUUAGAUACCGCCCUAGUUCUGACCGUAAACUAUGCCAUCUAGCGAUCCGAUGGGGUAAUUUGCCUUGUCGGGGAGCUUACCGGAAACGAAAGUCUUUCGGUUCCGGGGGUAGUAUGGUUGCAAAGCUGAAACUUAAAGAAAUUGACGGAAGGGCACCACCAGGAGUGGAGCCUGCGG